rnacentral:rRNA from 1 species
AUACGGAGGAUCCGAGCGUUAUCCGGAUUUAUUGGGUUUAAAGGGUGCGCAGGCGGCCAUUUAAGUCAGCGGUUAAAUCGUGGGGCUCAACCCCAUUCUGCCGUUGAUACUGGGUGGCUUGAUUGCGGUCGAGGUUGGCGGAAUUCGUUGUGUAGCGGGGAAAUGCAUAGAUAUGACGAAGAAAACCGAUUGCGUAGGCAGCUGGCCAGACCGCAAAUGACGCUCAUGCACGAAAGUGCGGGGAUCGAACAGGAUUAGAUACCCUGGUAGUCCGCACAGUAAACGAUGAAUACUUGUUUUCGGCGAUAUAAUGUCGGAGGCAAAGCGAAAGCGAUAAGUAUUCCACCUGGGGAGUACGCCGGCAACGGUGAAACUCAAAGGAAUUGACGGGG